AUUGAACGCUGGCGGCAUGCCUUACACAUGCAAGUCGAACGGUAACAGGUCUUCGGAUGCUGACGAGUGGCGAACGGGUGAGUAAUACAUCGGAACGUGCCUAGUAGUGGGGGAUAACUACUCGAAAGAGUGGCUAAUACCGCAUGAGAUCUACGGAUGAAAGCAGGGGAUCGCAAGACCUUGUGCUACUAGAGCGGCCGAUGGCAGAUUAGGUAGUUGGUGGGAUAAAAGCUUACCAAGCCGACGAUCUGUAGCUGGUCUGAGAGGACGAUCAGCCACACUGGGACUGAGACAAGGCCCAGACUCGUACGGGAGGCAGCAGUGGUGAAUUUUGGACAAUGGGCGCAAGCCUGAUCCAGCAAUGCCGCGUGCAGGAUGAAGGCCUUCGGGUUGUAAACUGCUUUUGUACGGAACGAAAAGCCCUGGGUUAAUACCCUGGGGUCAUGACGGUACCGUAAGAAUAAGCACCGGCUAACUACGUGCCAGCCGCCGCGGUAA
rnacentral:rRNA from 1 species